CAAUAAACUGAUUGAAUGGGAGGAUUAGUGUAGUAAGGUAGAGAGAGGGAUUGUCCAUAAACUGAUUGAAUGGGAGGAUUAGUGUAGUAAGGUAGAGAGAGGGAUUGUCCAUAAACUGACUGAAUGGGAGGAUUAGUGUAGUAAGGUAGAGAGAGGGAUUGUCCAUAAACUGAUUGAAUGGGAGGAUUAGUGUAGUAAGGUAGAGAGAGGGAUUGUCCAUAAACUGAUUGAAUGGGAGGAUUAGUGUAGUAAGGUAGAGAGAGGGAUUGUCCAUAAACUGAUUGAAUGGGAGGAUUAGUGUAGUAAGGUAGAGAGAGAGAUUGUCCAUAAACUGAUUGAAUGGGAGGAUUAGUGUAGUAAGGUAGAGAGAGGGAUUGUCCAUAAACUGAUUGAAUGGGAGGAUUAGUGUAGUAAGG